AUUCACCACACGAAGAGGUGAGUUUUUUUUUAUGACAGCCAGCUGAUUUGUCAAAACAAGUCCGAUAAAAAAAAUGUAUCUGCACAUAUUUUGGAUGCAUCGAACUAUAAAAGUAAAGACAAUUAAAACAUGGGUAAAUGAAAGAAGCCACUUAUCGACCGAAAGAAGUCUGUACCUUUCAAUCUACUACACAGAAGUUGCUGAUAAGGAUGCUCUUAUUCAGCGUCUAUCAAAAACAAAACAAAUUGAUGAAUUCAUUUAAUCAAACAAGUUACAUUACAUGGAGAAAAAAAAACAUCUUCCUUGUAUAUUCCGGAGAAUGUUUGUCGUCUUCCCGAACAAAGAUGAAAUCACCAACUAUAAAGUGUGAAAGUGUGUGGGCAAAACACACACUAUUUGAGAUAUGGAGGCACUCCGAAUGACAGCCCCA